rnacentral:rRNA from 1 species
CUACGGGAUGCUGCAGUGAGGAAUAUUGCACAAUGGGGGGAACCCUGAUGCAGCAACGCCGCGUGGAGGAUGACGCAUUUCGGUGUGUAAACUCCUUUUAUAUGUCAAGAAAAUGACGGUAGCAUAUGAAUAAGCACCGGCUAACUCCGUGCCAGCAGCCGCGGUAAUACGGAGGGUGCAAGCGUUACUCGGAAUGACUGGGCGUAAAGGACGCGUAGGAGGGUUGGAAAGUCAGGUGUGAAAUCCUACAGCUUAACUGUAGAACUGCACUUGAAACUUCUAAUCUAGAGUAUGGGAGGGGGAGAUGGAAUUAGUGGUGUAGGGGUAAAAUCCGUAGAUAUCACUAGGAAUACCUAAAGCGAAGGCGAUCUCCUGGAACAUUACUGACGCUAAGGCGUGAAAGCGUGGGGAGCAAACAGGAUUAGAUACCCGUGUAGUC